rnacentral:rRNA from 1 species
GCAAGUCGAGCGGUAGCACAGAGAGCUUGCUCUCGGGUGACGAGCGGCGGACGGGUGAGUAAUGUCUGGGAAACUGCCUGAUGGAGGGGGAUAACUACUGGAAACGGUAGCUAAUACCGCAUAAUGUCGCAAGACCAAAGUGGGGGACCUUCGGGCCUCAUGCCAUCAGAUGUGCCCAGAUGGGAUUAGCUAGUAGGUGGGGUAACGGCUCACCUAGGCGACGAUCCCUAGCUGGUCUGAGAGGAUGACCAGCCACACUGGAACUGAGACACGGUCCAGACUCCUACGGGAGGCAGCAGUGGGGGAUAUUGCACAAUGGGCGCAAGCCUGAUGCAGCCAUGCCGCGUGUGUGAAGAAGGCCUUCGGGUUGUAAAGCACUUUCAGCGGGGAGGAAGGCGUUAAGGUUAAUAACCUUGGCGAUUGACGUUACCCGCAGAAGAAGCACCGGCUAACUCCGUGCCAGCAGCCGCGGUAAUACGGAGGGUGCAAGCGUUAAUCGGAAUUACUGGGCGUAAAGCGCACGCAGGCGGUCUGUCAGUCGGAUGUGAAAUC